CCUANGGGAGGCUGCAGUCGAGAAUUUUUCACAAUGGGCGAAAGCCUGAUGGAGCGACGCCGCGUGGGGGAUGAAUGGCUUCGGCCCGUAAACCCCUGUCAUUUGCGAACAAACCUUGUUAUUUAAAAGAUGGCAAGUUGAUAGUAGCGAAAGAGGAAGGGACGGCUAACUCUGUGCCAGCAGCCGCGGUAAAACGUAGGUGGCGAGCGUUAUCCGGAUUCACUGGGCGUAAAGCGCCUGCAGGCGGUCUCGUAAGUGGGAUGUGAAAUCUCCCGGCUUAACUGGGAGGGGCCAUUCCAUACUGCGGGACUUGAGGGCAGAAGAGGGAAGCGGAAUUCCCGGUGUAGUGGUGAAAUGCGUAGAUAUCGGGAGGAACACCAGUGGCGAAGGCGGCUUCCUGGCCUGCUCCUGACGCUAAGAGGCGAAAGCUAGGGGAGCGAACGGGAUUAGAUACCCCGNUANUC
rnacentral:rRNA from 1 species